rnacentral:rRNA from 1 species
UACGUGUGAGGCAAGCGUUAUUCGUCGUUAAUGGGUCUAAAGGGUUCGUAGGUGGCUUGUUAAGUCAGACGUGAAAUCCCUCGGCUCAACCGGGGAACUGCGUCUGAGACUGAUGAGCUCGAGUGCAGGAGAGGAACGCGGAAUUCCAGGUGUAGCGGUGAAAUGCGUAGAUAUCUGGAGGAACACCGGUGGCGAAGGCGGCGUUCUGGACUGCAACUGACACUGAGGAACGAAAGCCAGGGGAGCAAACGGG